GCCGGCGCACGAGGUGGGGAAGCUCAAGACUGGCUGUGUGCUUGUCUGUCUGUCUGUUUGAGGGUCCUGCUUUGUUGCCCAGGCCGGCUUUGAACUCGGGUCCCCCUACGCAGCUUGGCACUACAGGUCCCGCCACCACCCUGGGCUGGAAACCACUCGUUUUGUACAGGGCCGAGGAGAUCCAGGAGAGGGAGAAGGAAUUUUAACUUGGUCAAGGAGACAGACGGGGCAAGUGACUUGUCCAAGGUCACACAGCUUAUAAAUGGCAGAACCAGGAUCCAACGACCGAUGUCCCGGCUCUGAGUCUGUGAUUCAAAACUAGACAAAGUUCAAGGUAACCGAAAAGAUAACGCGGAGUCUGAGCAGCCAUGAGAAGACCAGCCCCGGACCGAUGGGCGGAGGUGGCGCAGUGGUGAGCGCUGCCCAGCGGGACCUGCCUUCGCUCGCUGCGGCGGGCAGACACGUGGGAGCAGACAGCUAUGGAAACUGCUAGAAUCAAGUGGAGACGCUGCUAGGGAUGCGGCUUCCUGGCCUCGGUGACGUCCUGGACGUUGCAGAAACCAGCUGUGGUUUCAGAGACACAACCUGCGACAGGGGUAAGGACAAGUAUAAACGCCGCGUCCUCUCCCCGACGUCCUCUGUGGGUGACACCAGACUUGCAAUCAGAAGUCAGUUACAAGAAAGAAAAUAUGAUACUUACUGUCGGUGACCAACGGUGGGACGGGGACCGUGGGGCCAGGGGCCAGGCUGUCAAUCCCAAGGCAUCUAUGGGAACUGACCUAGGGGGUCUGGACCCUCGUCAUCCCCUCAUCCCCGAUUUAAGGAUGGGAGAGUGAGGUUCAGCGGCGAGUUACUCAAGAGCUGUAUUCUGCAGAAAGAGGAGGGACGAGACAUGAACCCCUACGUCUGGCCCGCUCCAGCCUUGGGCCAACCCCACUGCGCCAACAGAGAGGAAUUUGGGCACUGAUGAUCCUUUUAUUUAUUGGAGCUGGGGAUUGAACCCAGGGGCGCUUAACCAUUCCCCAGCUCUUAUUUU